GACGGAAGGUGCAAGCGUUGCUCGGAAUCACUGGGCGUAAAGGGUGCGUAGGCGGCCGUGCAAGUCUGGCGUGAAAGCCCCGGGCUCAGCCCGGGAAGUGCGCUCGAAACUGCGCGGCUCGAGUGCCGGAGGGGAGAGUGGAAUUCCUGGUGUAGCGGUGAAAUGCGUAGAUAUCGGAAGGAACGCCGGUGGCGAAAGCGACGUGCUGGACCUCUUCUGACGCUGAGGCGCGAAAGCUAGGGGAGCAAACGGG
rnacentral:rRNA from 1 species